rnacentral:rRNA from 1 species
UAGGGAAUCUUCGGCAAUGGUCGAAAGUCUGACCGAGCAACGCCGCGUGAGUGAAGAAGGUUUUCGGAUCGUAAAACUCUGUUGGUAGAGAAGAACGUUGGUGAGAGUGGAAAGCUCAUCAAGUGACGGUAACUACCCAGAAAGGGACGGCUAACUACGUGCCAC